ACCCCUGACUUUAAUUACAGGGAGACUCCGCACAGAUCCCUACGGGAGCUGGGCUUCAUCCCCGACUCCGACUGCAGACGGACCUCGUCCGGACUCCGCCCACAACUCCGAUCGCAAGCAGACUCCACCUGGACUCCUACGGGAGCCGGGCUCCGUCACCAACUUCAACCGCUGGUAAGCUUCGUUCGGAUUCCUACGAGAGCCAGACUUUGCCCCUGACUUUAAUUGCAGGC
rnacentral:lncRNA from 1 species